GCCCCCACUUGCCGCCCCCGCCCGCCCCGCACGGCCGCCGCCUCUGCCGGAGACCCCCUCCCGCUCGCACUGCCUGCGACCGUCGUCCCACGUCCGCUGCCGGAGACCCGCGCGGUCGUCUGCUUCACUAACAACGAGCGCGACACGGUUCUGCUCGCCGCGGCGUCUCCGGUCCGCUGCCAGAGGCUGCCGGAGACCUACGUGCCGUCUCCUUCACUGCCACCGGGCGCGACACGGUUCUGCUCGCCGUGGCGUCUCCGGCACGUCGUCGCCGAGCUGCCCCCUCGGUUUCGGUUGUUUCUGUUGUACUUCACACAUUCUAUCACCUUGUACCAACAGUGAUGCGAGGAUCGUUAGUCCAACGCAUUCUAUGUACUUCCGGAUUAAAAUUGCUGGCAAGGUCAGAUGAAAAUUGUUCAAAAAGAUAGACAAGUAUAACCUCACGUUGCAAAGGUGAGUGAGUGCUUCAUGUCAAACAAACUUUGAGAUCACCUCGUGUUGAUUAUUGAUGAUCCGUUUCUUGGUCCACCUACUUCCGCAAAUUCUCAGCUUUAUACCUAAAGAGAUGGAAGUGAAAAAAAAAAUUAGAUGGAAACUAAGGUCAGAAAUAGAUGGAAGUUGCAAUUCUUAAUGCAUAAUACAAUAGAUGUAAGUUGAAAUACAUGGAAACUAUGGUCCUGUACAUUUUUUGUUCCAGUGUCUCUGCUUGAUGUCAAACAAACUUUGAGAUCACCUCCUCUUGACUAUUGAUGAUCCGUUUCUUGGUCCACCUACUUUUGCAAUUCUCAGUUUUAUACAUAAAUAGAUGGAAGUGAAUAAAUAAAUAAAUAGAUGGAAACUAAGGUCAGAAAUAGAUGGAAGUUGCAAUUCUUAAUGCACAAUACAAUAGAUGGAAGUUGAAAUACAUGGAAACUAUGGUCCUGUACAUUUUUUUUGUUCCAGUGUCUCCAUCAUUUGUGUUUUCAAAACGCAGAUGUGCAAGAAUAUUCAUGAUAUUCGAGAUGCACAUCGGUUUGCCUUAGGGGAACGUUCCCCGUUACACGACGUAACAAACUCACCUCUAAAUGGAAAUGCAUAGAGUAGUUUUGCUGCUCAAAAGAAAAGUGGCCAAUCAUGGUACACCAGAUUGUCUGAUGACAAGAAAGCAGAGAUCCUUGAGAAGCGCCGUGUCGUCUGGCAACAGAAGAAGGCUGUAGCCGUACGAAGUCUAAACCAUGCCCAGGAAUCAGAGGCACGUGCUUCUUCUGUAGGGUCUGAGCAAUGUAUCCCUUUGACCAACAUCACCAACACACAUAUAGAUGUUACAGUAUGUACGGCUGCAAGCUCCGUGGGUACUGUUCAUCUUCAACAAGACAAUAUUUCAGGCAGAAAAAGAAGUGGACAAAGUUGGUAUGCUGGGCUAUCCGACGAGCGGCAGGCUGAGUAGAUAAACAAACAGAAGAUGGCCCGACUCGCACGGAAAGCUGCCUCUGCUGGGGUGAAUGUCCAAGUGCCUACAUCAUCUGCCCCACAAGCUUGAUCUGCUCAUACCUCUGGUCGGGCUAACUAUGGUGGUCGUGAACAUCAAUUGCAGGAAAUAGUAGGACAAUGCAUCAAACAGAAUGGUGCAUGCAACUCCAACCGACAGCGGGUCAAAUUUGGAGGUAGACGGUUCAGAUGAUUGGUUGCACAGUAAUCCAACUUACAUACGGCGAGCGAUGUUGGCGAAACAUGUCGAAGAUAGCUCUGUUCCUAUAAGUUUUAUCUCCGGACGCUCCAUUGAACCAUUAGAUGCAUACCAUGAGAAGGACCGCCUUCGUAAAAGGAAAAAAAUACUCAGAAAUGGAAAUGCAAUAGAGAGAGUCCUUGUUGUGUCGGAGUCGUGCGUACAAGAUGGUGAAACCAAAUCCAGCAUGUGAAAAUAACCAUACAGAGGCAGCAACAAUGAAGAGGACUCCGAUGCACACGGCAUUUUCGAGCCCGUGGGGCAGACUGCUGGGAGUGAAGAAUUCUUGAACACGCAGUCCAUCUUUUGGUAUGAGCACAGAAUGAUAUUAGGAUAUUCAGUGCACAAGGUGAUGACUUCGAAUCGUACAGAGUGACAACUGAUGGUUUGCAUAGGCUUGAGACUCAUGAUCCUUGCGACUACGUCUACCACAAUCUACCCACCAAGCAUCAUGUUUUGAAGCCAAUAAAAGACUGUAUCCAUUGUGGAGCAAUGAGGUUCCAGUAUGAAGGCCCAGCCUUCUGUUGCAGAAAAGGUACACUUGUAUUGGGAGCAUACAUGACACUGUCCUGAAUGCACUCCUGGGUCGUCUGUAGUAAACGCAAUUAAACCGGCAUACAUGCUGUCAGAUAGAACACUUGAAAGGGCUGGUAGAUCAAAGAAGAUCAAUCGCAAAGAAGAAAAUAAUUAUGUUGCAAGAAAGUGCAUGGACAAAACUGAUCCUCCACAAAUGAGUCGUCUGUAGUAAACACAAUUUCGAAUACCCAGUGAAAUUCAUGUGUUCCAGACAGAACAUAAGCCUUGCGUGCUUGCCUUGUAGUAUCAUCUUCUGGAUGUAUCCUUUUUGUGUGAAAUAUAUGCAUCUAUAUGCCCAGUUUGUACCCCUCUAAUCCGGCGGAAGUUACACACAUGUGAAUUGGUAAGACUUAUAUAGCUUGAAUAUUUGAAUGUAGCACUGCUUGAAUAACAGAAGGCGAGAAUUGCA
rnacentral:rRNA from 1 species